rnacentral:rRNA from 1 species
GGGGAACCCUGAUGCAGCGACGCAGCGUGCGGGAUGACGGCCUUCGGGUUGUAAACCGCUUUCAGCAGGGAAGAAGCGAAAGUGACGGUACCUGCAGAAGAAGUACCGGCUAACUACGUGCCAGCAGCCGCGGUAAUACGUAGGGUACGAGCGUUGUCCGGAAUUAUUGGGCGUAAAGAGCUCGUAGGUGGUUGGUCACGUCUGCUGUGGAAACGCAACGCUUAACGUUGCGCGUGCAGUGGGUACGGGCUGACUAGAGUGCAGUAGGGGAGUCUGGAAUUCCUGGUGUAGCGGUGAAAUGCGCAGAUAUCAGGAGGAACACCGGUGGCGAAGGCGGGACUCUGGGCUGUAACUGACACUGAGGAGCGAAAGCAUGGGGAGCGAACAGGAUUAGAUACCCUGGUAGUCCAUGCCGUAAACGUUGGGCACUAGGUGUGGGGGACAUUCCACGUUCUCCGCGCCGUAGCUAACGCAUUAAGUGCCCCGCCUGGGGAGUACGGUCGCAAGGCUAAAACUCAAAGGAAUUGACGGGGGCCCGCACAAGCGGCGGAGCAUGCGGAUUAAUUCGAUGCAACGCGAAGAACCUUACCAAGGCUUGACAUACACUGGACCGUUCUGGAAACAGUUCUUCUCUUUGGAGCUGGUGUACAGGUGGUGCAUGGUUGUCGUCAGCUCGUGUCGUGAGAUGUUGGGUUAAGUCCCGCAACGAGCGCAACCCUCGUUCUAUGUUGCCAGCACGUGAUGGUGGGAACUCAUAGGAGACUGCCGGGGUCAACUCGGAGGAAGGUGGGGAUGACGUC